UGUUCUUUUAUAUACAAACAUUCUUCUUUAAUUCCGGGAAAGAUAUCUAGCUUUGUAGCAAAAGUAGAGCCAGAACCGCCUAAAUUAUGUUGAUGAGUUCUUAUGAUGUUCUAAUGCAUAUCGAAUAAUUAAGUGGAAAAAAUAUAGAACGGGUCAAUCUAUCUGCUAUUAGGUUUAUUACAAAUUAUUUGAAGCAACGGCGUGUGAGGGGGAACGUUUCCAGAGCGUAAGCUCAUGCUGUUAAUAACAUUUCUGUAGUAUGUUAAGUUUGGCAUUUUUGUUCUUAAAAAAUCGGGAAAAUAAAACAAAAUGUAUUUAACUUUGUUAAAUGGCACCGGUUACGUUUUCGAUGUGGAUGAUUACAUGGAGCUACGUAUCAAAUACCGCAUUGUGGGCGCUCUUGUGGGCACGGCCAACAGCAAAGGUUGGAGCUCCAGUGAAGCAGCUCUUCCCGUAGAGCUUACAAAAUGCGAGACGCAGCUGCUCAUAGAUGAAGGCCUGGCCAUGCUGGUCAGCAAAGCCGCAAGCUUAAUGAAAUCUCCAACUCCAGAAAUAUUGCAGGAAUAUCAAGAAGAUUUCGCGGCCCGCCUAAAAGCGCAAGCUGAUUCCUUGAAGGCGGAAAAGCUGCGGGAAACCGAACGCCAUGUGGAGAAAAUCCUCAGCGGCAAGCGCAACAAGUUGUUAAAGCAGGGGAAAUCGGAUGAGGAGCGUGAUCCAAGAAGUCGCAAAUAAUUUUGAAUUCGAUCAUCAAAAUGCGCUCGUGGAGCUGCCUUGUCCGCAUCUGGCUAAGCACACUGCCCAACUAUGGUCUGAUCCGAUUUGCGACCGCGACUCGCUUAAAUACCGGGUUUUUCGUGAUCUGUGGGGCCGUGGCAAGUUCGUCAC
rnacentral:misc_RNA from 1 species